UGGGGGAUAUUGCACAAUGGGCGAAAGCCUGAUGCAGCGACGCCGCGUGGGGGAUGAAGGCCUUCGGGUUGUAAACUUCUUUUGCUCUGAACAAGGCGCACCAUGGGGUGUGUUGAGUGUAGGGGUUGAUUAGCGCCGGCUAACUACGUGCCAGCAGCCGCGGUAAUACGUAGGGCGCGAGCGUUGUCCGGAAUUAUUGGGCGUAAAGGGCUUGUAGGUGGCUGGUUGCGUCUGUCGUGAAAGCUCAUGGCUUAACUGUGGGUUUGCGGUGGGUACGGACUGGCUUGAGUGCAGUAGGGGAGGCUGGAAUUCCUGGUGUAGCGGUGGAAUGCGCAGAUAUCAGGAGGAAUACCGGUGGCGAAGGCGGGUCUCUGGGCUGUUACUGACACUGAGGAGCGAAAGCAUGGGGAGCGAACAGG
rnacentral:rRNA from 1 species